ensembl:snoRNA SNORD10 small nucleolar RNA SNORD10
GUUCUGUGAUGAUCUCCCAUGCGUGUCAUCUGACUCCCAUCAACCCCCCAUAUUUCCCUCCCGGUUGGCGUUCUGCUGUGCUGGGAGAGAAAGGUGCGGGUUUCGGAAGUGAUCAUAGCUCUUAAAAGAUUCCUGAGAAC